AGAAUCAACGCUGGCGGCGUGCCUAACACAUGCAAGUCGAACGAGAAAGUGGAGCAAUCCAUGAGUACAGUGGCGUACGGGUGAGUAACACGUGACUAACCUACCCUCGAGUGGGGAAUAACCUCGGGAAACCGGGGCUAAUACCGCAUAACAUCUUCGGAUCAAAUGCGUAAGCAGCUUGAGGAGGGGGUCGCGGCCGAUUAGCUAGUUGGCGGGGUAAUGGCCCACCAAGGCAAUGAUCGGUAGCCGGCCUGAGAGGGCGCACGGCCACACUGGAACUGAAACACGGUCCAGACUCCUACGGGAGGCAGCAGUGGGAAUUUGCGCAAUGGGGGAAACCCUGACGCAGCAACGCCGCGUGGAGGAUGAAGCCCUUUGGGGCGUAAACUCCUUUCGAUCGGGACGAUUAUGACGGUACCGGAAGAAGAAGCACCGGCUAACUCUGUGCCAGCAGCCGC
rnacentral:rRNA from 1 species